GAUGAACGCUGGCGGCGUGCCUAAUACAUGCAAGUAGAACGCUGAAGGAGGAGCUUGCUUCCCUGGAUGAGUUGCGCACGGGUGAGUAACGCGUAGGUAACCUGCCUGGUAGCGGGGGAUAACUCUUGGAAACGAUAGCUAAUACCGCAUAAGAGUAGAUGUUGCAUGACAUUCGCUAAAAAGGUGCAAUUGUAUCACUACCAGAUGGACCUGCGUGGUAUUAGUUAGUUGGUGAGGUAACGGCUCACAAAGGCAACGAUAAGUAGCGGACCUGCGAGGGUAUCGGCCCAACCGGGACCGGGGAAACGGCCAAGACCCCAACGGGGGGAGCAGGAGGGGAACUUCGGGAAUGGAGGGAAAGCUGACCGGAGAACGCCGGGGGAGGGAAGAAGGGUCUCGGGUCGGAAAGCUCUGGUUAAAGGGGAGAAAGAGAGGUGGAGUGAAAAGUGCACGCUGUGACGGUAUCUAAUCAGAAAGGGACGGCUAACUACGUG
rnacentral:rRNA from 1 species